GCCACCCCCAUACGGUGAAAGGAGCCCCGCAAAGAAGUCCCGCAUGGCUAACCAUAUGCUUCCUGCAUUCAACGAAGACACAGAUAAGUGGAAACCGUAUCUCAUUAAGGCAGAUGCCUACUUUGAAGCUAAUGGAAUCGUCAAUAUCCGCCCAGAAAGAGAGUACUGCUCGGGGCACCAUUGAGAACGCAAACCCAGCCAGUAUUAUCUGUGAAGGUCGCGCCGCGAGCACAAAACACUUUGAGCUUCGAGCAAGUUGUCGAGGUGCUAAACAAGUACUAUUAUCCGAAACGACGUGAAUUAAAGAAGAACUUCAAGUUUUUUUUUUAAAUCCUGCCAGAUGGAAGAGGAAUAACUGCCAUUUUGGCAAGUCCUAGAUCGCGUGCUUGUCCUAGAUUGUGUGCAUUGUUUAGACAAUGGCUCUACAGAAGCAACUACUGGCAACGGCGGACAUCAAGGUAUAGCUGAGGCCGCAUCGCUCGCAAUUACAGCUGAAAGUGUCAAGAAUAACGAUAUGAAAAUGCUCUCCAAGCCAAGGGCUUUAUUAAAAUUUCAGACGCCUUGAAAAACCUCGCCCCUGGGAAACAGAAAGGCCGAAGAACAUCUUGAAUGCGGAAGGUAGGGCAGCUCAACACAUGAUGAUGUUGCUUGCGAAUGGGCAAAUGCGCGUUGCUAUCGCGGUGGACGGCGAAGGCACGGUGCUGAGAAAUGUCAAAGCAGCCCUAACCGUGGGAAGUUAAUCGCCAGAGCUAUGCACGCGAAUAUACUGGCAAUAACUGAAACCUACCCAAUGGACGAUAGCAGUGACGAAGUCAAUCGUUGAAAAUUGGUGUCGAAACGGAAACCAAUCUGCCACUCAUAUUUAUGGGGCGGGGUUCAAGUAGCCAUGGAAGUCGACACCGGGUCGCCAGUGUCUGAUUUCUCGGGAACUGUACAUGAAUCAUGGGAACGAUUGGCCUGCCCUGACGCCGUCACGCCUGUAGUUGUCUUGCUACGCAGGGCGGUUACCGGUGUUGGGCGACCUGACACUACCUGUGGGCUUCAAGGACGUGCUCAUGGACUUCCCUCACAGGGUUCGACUGCUAAGGGCCAAGCUUAUGCGGAAGGGACCUGCUGACGCUGCUGGGAAACUCUGGCGCCUCGGUGCUAAUAGAAAGAUGGCUAGGGUUGCUGAGACCUGACCGCCAGACACCGACCAUGGCGGCUGCGCGAAUGCAACGCUGGACACUGUGCCUCAGAGUCUACACAUACAAGCUUCAAUCCUGGGAAACAAAUGCCCAGCUCAGGUGCUCUAAGCCGACUGCCACAGCAAGCCACCGGAGACAGAAAUGAAGGUCCAUCUGAGGAGAGCAAUGACUGGAGACUGCCUGCAGGCAGCAGCGUGUCCAUCAAUUACGGACAUGGGAGAAGUCAAUCUCUGGUCGGGUCAAUUCGGCAAAAAGAGCACAGACAGCAACCGCAGAGACGCCCACUGCCAACGUCAAGAGGCACGUCGACCAGGUGCGCCAUCGCUCGAAUUCAUUACCAAGGAACCCGUUCACUGACGUGACUAUUGUGGUCCAGACUUCAACCAGACGCCAGGUACAAGCACGGCCACCAAUGCAACCAGUCCCUUGGAAGCGGCCGUCACAUAUAAUUAUCUAGCUAGUGCCCAAAUUGCAGAAAGCAACAUUCAGUGUCGCAACCCUCUACACCCAACUGCCUCGAGUCCGGCUGAAGCUGCGCAGCAAGUCUUGCGUCAGUCAACAAGGCAGUGCAAGAUAGUGCAGUUGUGGUUUUGAGAAGGCAGUUCUGUGUCGGCGCCAUACCAGAGUUCUACGCAUGUGCAAUACGCUUCGUUACGUUUCCCUCACUUCCACUUCCCGUCCCACUUCGGGGAAAAAUGCAAU